rnacentral:tRNA from 1 species
ACUUUGAUAGUCUAAAGGCUUAAGACGCUCUAUGGAAUACAAGAGAUCCGGGUUCAACUCCCGACCGAAGUA